rnacentral:rRNA from 1 species
GACGAACGCUGGCGGCGUGCCUAAUACAUGCAAGUUGAGCGCUGAAGGUUGGUACUUGUACCAACUGGAUGAGCAGCGAACGGGUGAGUAACGCGUGGGGAAUCUGCCUUUGAGCGGGGGACAACAUUUGGAAACGAAUGCUAAUACCGCAUAAAAACUUUAAACACAAGUUUUAAGUUUGAAAGAUGCAAUUGCAUCACUCAAAGAUGAUCCCGCGUUGUAUUAGCUAGUUGGUGAGGUAAAGGCUCACCAAGGCGAUGAUACAUAGCCGACCUGAGAGGGGGAUCGGCCACAUUGGGACUGAGACACGGCCCAAACUCCUACGGGAGGCAGCAGUAGGGAAUCUUCGGCAAUGGACGAAAGUCUGAACGAGCAACGCCGCGUGAGUGAAGAAGGUUUUCGGAUCGUAAAACUCUGUUGGUAGAGAAGAACGUUGGUGAGAGUGGAAAGCUCAUCAAGUGACGGUAACUACCCAGAAAGGGACGGCUAACUACGUG